CUCAUGACGAACGCUGGCGGCGUGCUUAACACAUGCAAGUCGAACGGAAAGGCCCUGCUUUUGUGGGGUGCUCGAGUGGCGAACGGGUGAGUAACACGUGAGUAACCUGCCCUUGACUUUGGGAUAACUUCAGGAAACUGGGGCUAAUACCGGAUAGGAGCUCCUGCUGCAUGGUGGGGGUUGGAAAGUUUCGGCGGUUGGGGAUGGACUCGCGGCUUAUCAGCUUGUUGGUGGGGUAGUGGCUUACCAAGGCUUUGACGGGUAGCCGGCCUGAGAGGGUGACCGGCCACAUUGGGACUGGGAUACGGCCCAGACUCCUACGGGAGGCAGCAGUGGGGAAUAUUGCACAAUGGGCGGAAGCCUGAUGCAGCAACGCCGCGUGCGGGAUGACGGCCUUCGGGUUGUAAACCGCUUUCGCCUGUGACGAAGCGUGAGUGACGGUAAUGGGUAAAGAAGCACCGGCUAACUACGUGCCAGCAGCCGCGGUGAUACGUAGGGUGCGAGCGUUGUCCGGAUUUAUUGGGCGUAAAGGGCUCGUAGGUGGUUGAUCGCGUCGGAAGUGUAAUCUUGGGGCUUAACCCUGAGCGUGCUUUCGAUACGGGUUGACUUGAGGAAGGUAGGGGAGAAUGGAAUUCCUGGUGGAGCGGUGGAAUGCGCAGAUAUCAGGAGGAACACCAGUGGCGAAGGCGGUUCUCUGGGCCUUUCCUGACGCUGAGGAGCGAAAGCGUGGGGAGCGAACAGGCUUAGAUACCCUGGUAGUCCACGCUGUAAACGGUGGGUACUAGGUGUGGGGUCCAUUCCACGGGUUCCGUGCCGUAGCUAACGCUUUAAGUACCCCGCCUGGGGAGUACGGCCGCAAGGCUAAAACUCAAAGGAAUUGACGGGGCCCCGCACAAGCGGCGGAGCAUGCGGAUUAAUUCGAUGCAACGCGUAGAACCUUACCUGGGUUUGACAUGGAUCGGGAGUGCUCAGAGAUGGGUGUGCCUCUUUUGGGGUCGGUUCACAGGUGGUGCAUGGCUGUCGUCAGCUCGUGUCGUGAGAUGUUGGGUUAAGUCCCGCAACGAGCGCAACCCUUGUUCACUGUUGCCAGCACGUUAUGGUGGGGACUCAGUGGAGACCGCCGGGGUCAACUCAGAGGAAGGUGGGGAUGACGUCAAGUCAUCAUGCCCCUUAUGUCCAGGGCUUCACGCAUGCUACAAUGGCUGGUACAGAGAGUGGCGAGCCUGUGAGGGUGAGCGAAUCUCGGAAAGCCGGUCUCAGUUCGGAUUGGGGUCUGCAACUCGACCUCAUGAAGUCGGAGUCGCUAGUAAUCGCAGAUCAGCAACGCUGCGGUGAAUACGUUCCCGGGGCUUGUACACACCGCCCGUCAAGUCAUGAAAGUUGGUAACACCCGAAGCCGGUGGCCUAACCGUUGUGGGGGAGCCGUCGAAGGUGGGACUGG
rnacentral:rRNA from 1 species